rnacentral:rRNA from 1 species
CUUGCGGGGGUGAUUAGUGGCGAACGGGUGAGUAAUACGUGAGUAACCUGCCCUUGACUCUGGGAUAAGCCUGGGAAACCGGGUCUAAUACUGGAUACUACUCCUCAUCGCAUGGUGGGGGGUGGAAAGGGUUUUACUGGUUUUGGAUGGGCUCACGGCCUAUCAGCUUGUUGGUGGGGUAAUGGCUCACCAAGGCGACGACGGGUAGCCGGCCUGAGAGGGUGACCGGCCACACUGGGACUGAGACACGGCCCAGACUCCUACGGGAGGCAGCAGUGGGGAAUAUUGCACAAUGGGCGGAAGCCUGAUGCAGCGACGCCGCGUGAGGGAUGACGGCCUUCGGGUUGUAAACCUCUUUCAGCAUGGAAGAAGCCACAAGUGACGGUACCUG